rnacentral:tRNA from 1 species
AGCGCCGUAGCCUAACGGAUAGGGCACCGGAUUUUCACUUCGGUAGGUGCGGGUUCGAUUCCCGUCGGCGCUACCA